rnacentral:rRNA from 1 species
AGCUCAAAUUUGAAAUCUGGCCCUUUUUGGGGCUCGAGUUGUAAUUUGUAGAGGAUGCUUUGGGUACCGCCACGGUUUAAUUUUCUUGGAACAGGAAGCCAAAGAGGGUGAGAGUCCCGUCUUGGACCGCGGUAGGGCUCGUGUAAAACUCCUUCGAC